UUAGGGUAGAGUUCGAUACUGGCUCAGGAUGAACGCUGGCGGCGUGCGUAACUCAGGCAAGUUGAGCGAUUUACUUCGGUGAAGGGCGGCGGACGGGUGAGUAACGCGUGGGUAACCUACCCUGUACACAAGGAUAACAUCCCGAAAGGUAUGCGAAUACGGGAUAA
rnacentral:rRNA from 1 species